rnacentral:rRNA from 1 species
UACGAAGGGGGCUAGCGUUGUUCGGAAUCACUGGGCGUAAAGGGUGCGUAGGCGGCCGUGCAAGUCUGGCGUGAAAGCCCCGGGCUCAGCCCGGGAAGUGCGCUCGAAACUGCGCGGCUCGAGUGCCGGAGGGGAGAGUGGAAUUCCUGGUGUAGCGGUGAAAUGCGUAGAUAUCUGGAGGAACACCGGUGGCGAAGGCGGCAUCCUGGACCGGCAUUGACGCUGAGGCGCGAAAGCUAGGGGAGCAAACGGG